rnacentral:rRNA from 1 species
GACGAACGCUGGCGGCGUGCUUAACACAUGCAAGUCGAACGGUCCUGUUUUUGAAGCGCUUCGGCGUGGAGGGAGCGGGUUAGUGGCGCACGGGUGAGUAAUGCGCGAGGACCUGCCCGCGGGAGGGGGACAGCAGUUGGAAACGGCUGGUGAUACCCCGUAAGCCGGGAGGUAAAAGGGCGGAGACGCCCGCCUGCGGAUGGACUCGCGUCCUAUCAGCUAGUUGGUGAGGCAACGGCUCACCAAGGCGACGACGGGUAGCCGGCCUGAGAGGGUGAACGGCCACACUGGGACUGAGACACGGCCCAGACUCCUACGGGGGGCAGCAGUGGGGGAGUCUUGCACAAUGGGCGGAAGCCUGAUGCAGCGACGCCGCGUGAGCGAAGAAGGCCUCGGUUGUAAGCUCUGUCUGGAGGGACGGAAACGAAAUAGACGGUACCGUCCGGACGGAAGGCCACGGCUAACUAACGUGCCAGCAGCCGCGGUAAAAGUAGUGUGUA